GACCCCCCACCCCAAAACUAUCACACACCAUCAUCUCUUCCUCUCUCUUCGCCUCCAUCUUCUCUGUUGUUGAAAUCGUCCCACGGUGGUGGAAAGUAUCCAAACGCCACCAAAUUAUCACCAGACACUCUCCUCAUCUCCCUUAUUCCUAAUCCAUAACUCGUUCCUCUUUAAAACAUUCCAAGGUUUACGAUCAGUAGAUCUACAAAAUCAUUAACCCUAAAAUUUUCCCUUUUUGUUUUCUUCUUCAAUUCCGGCAUGUAAAGAUUUUAAACCUAAAUCAAUCGUUUGCUCAAAAUUAGAGCUAUCGAUUGCCGUUGGUAAUAGAUCAUUUUACGAUGGCCGGAAUCCCUUUCACCGAAACCCUUUAUCUCUGUCAAAAUUCAUUGAACCUCAACUUUGUCCAAUGAAAUAAUUAUCAAACAUCAAGAGUCCAAAUAAGUGUUCAUUGGACGAAGGUCGCUGCCAUUCAACCUCGAAAUCUGGUGUUUGGUUUGACCCCUGAGCUUUUGGUCUUACCAGCUUUAUUCAGGUAUUUCUGAACUCAGUAGCAGGUGUUGGUUGCUCAGAAGCAAAGUCAUCGGAGUUUGGCAAGGUAGCUGCCCGACGUUCGCAGCACUGCUUCUUAUCCCUCUUGAUUUCAUUAGACUGUAUCUAGUACAUUUUUCAGACUUUCCAUUGUAUUUAGACCUUAGUAGAUGCUCAUGACUUGUGACACCCCGAUGUCGGGCUGUAUCUAUUUCCGCACCUAUUCUAUUUCGCUUAAUUUGGGAUUUAUUUCUUAUCAAUGACUUAAAUUGACUUAUUAAAAUUGUUAAAAAUGAA